rnacentral:rRNA from 1 species
CCUACGGGUGGCUGCAGUGGGGAAUAUUGGACAAUGGGCGAAAGCCUGAUCCAGCCAUGCCGCGUGUGUGAAGAAGGCCUUCGGGUUGUAAAGCACUUUCAGUGGGGAAGAAAGCCUUGGGGCUAAUACCCUCGAGGAAGGACAUCACCCACAGAAGAAGCACCGGCUAACUCCGUGCCAGCAGCCGCGGUAAUACGGAGGGUGCGAGCGUUAAUCGGAAUUACUGGGCGUAAAGCGCGCGUAGGCGGUCUGAUAAGCCGGUUGUGAAAGCCCCGGGCUCAACCUGGGAACGGCAUCCGGAACUGUCAGGCUAGAGUGCAGGAGAGGAAGGUAGAAUUCCCGGUGUAGCGGUGAAAUGCGUAGAGAUCUGGAGGAAUACCAGUGGCGAAGGCGGCCUUCUGGACUGACACUGACGCUGAGGUGCGAAAGCGUGGGUAGCAAACAGGAUUAGAUACCCCUGUAGUC